UACGUAGGGGGCUAGCGUUGUCCGGAUUUAUUGGGCGUAAAGAGCGUGUAGGCGGCCAUGUAGGUCCGGUGUGAAAACUCGAGGCUUAACCUCGAGAUGUCAUCGGAAACCAUUUGGCUAGAGUCCGGAAGAGGAGAGUGGAAUUCCUGGUGUAGCGGUGAAAUGCGUAGAUAUCUGGAGGAACACCGGUGGCGAAGGCGGCAUCCUGGACCGGCAUUGACGCUGAGGCGCGAAAGCCAGGGGAGCAAACAGG
rnacentral:rRNA from 1 species